UACGAAGGGGGCUAGCGUUGCUCGGAAUGACUGGGCGUAAAGGGCGCGUAGGCGGUUUGGACAGUCAGAUGUGAAAUUCCUGGGCUCAACCUGGGGGCUGCAUUUGAUACGUUCGGACUAGAGUGGGGAAGAGAGUCGUGGAAUUCCCAGUGUAGAGGUGAAAUUCGUAGAUAUUGGGAAGAACACCGGUGGCGAAGGCGGCGACCUGGUCCUUGACUGACGCUGAGGCGCGAAAGCGUGGGGAGCAAACAGG
rnacentral:rRNA from 1 species